AGUGAACGCUGGCGGCGUGCUUAACACAUGCAAGUCGAACGAGAACGGAAUAUAGCUUGCUAUAUUUGUCAGCUAAGUGGCGCACGGGUGAGUAAUGUAUAGAUAACCUGCCCUUAAGAAAGGAAUAACAGUUGGAAACGACUGCUAAUGCCCUAUAUGCCUUUAAUACAUAAGUAUGCAAGGGAAACGCUUUAGUGCUUAAGGAUGGGUCUGUAUGGUAUCAGCUUGUUGGUGAGGUAUUGGCGCACCAAGGCUAUGACGCCUAACUGGUUUGAGAGGAUGGUCAGUCAGACGGGAACUGAGACACGGUCCAGACUCCUACGGGAGGCAGCAGUGGGGAAUAUUGCACAAUGGACGAAAGUCUGAUGCAGCAACGCCGCGUGGAGGAUGACACAUUUCGGUGCGUAAACUCCUUUUAUAUAGGAAGAUAAUGACGGUACUGUAUGAAUAAUCACCGGCUAACUCCGUGCCAGCCGCCGCUGUAA
rnacentral:rRNA from 1 species